AGGGAUGAAUUAUACAGUAACCAUAUUUACGUAGGUUCUGAGUGUUGCGAUUGCGACUAUUCGACCUAUCCGAAUGUCGGGUACCAUUGCUAGAUGGUCACUUCGAUUAGUACAGGAAUUGGUUCCUGUGCUACCGGCUUAGGUUCGAACCUGCGGGGUCACACACAUUAGAGGUUCCUAUCUGAUCUGAUGGCUGAUGAAGAGUCCUAAUACUCGUAGACUAUGAGUCC
rnacentral:lncRNA from 1 species